rnacentral:rRNA from 1 species
UACAGGGGGUGCAAACGUUGCUCGGAAUCAUUGGGCGUAAAGCGCACGUAGGCGGUCUGUUAUGUCGGAUGUGAAAGCCCUUGGCUCAACUGAGGAAGUGCAUCCGAAACUGAGCAGCUAGAGUACGAAAGAGGGUCGCGGAAUUCCCGGUGUAGAGGUGAAAUUCGUAGAUAUCGGGAGGAACACCGGUGGCGAAGGCGGCGACCUGGGUCGAGACUGACGCUGAGGCGCGAAAGCGUGGGGAGCGAACAGG